UGCUUGCAGGAGCCUGGGAAGCAACUGCACAUGCGUGGAGACAGCCGGGUGGACAAAGUGGUGAACCAGUGAGUUUGUGUCCCUCCAAGCACAGAAGCCUUCCCGAACUCCAGCGGACGAUGCCAGGACACAGAGGAAGAGGAUGCUCACGGAGUAACUGAAACAAACUUUAGCAAGUGUGAAUUCAAGGCUGCGAGUGUGUAGCCUGGGGCCAACCAGAGACGGUCUUCUCUGUGCAAUGACUUGUCAUCGCUUCCAUCCUUUCACUAGCCCGGAUACCGUUUUGGGAAGCCAACCUCCCGUGGGAGACAGCAGAUGCAAGGUUCCUGAAGGGAAACAAUUUGCCGUGAAAAUGUUGUUAUCCAAGGGCUGCGGUUGCUGGACGACAGGCAAACCACUUCAAGAGAAUGUGGCUGGCAGCCAUAUGGUUAUAUAUGAAGCCAACAAUUAAUUUAGCAAAGAAAACUGCUUGUCACAAGUUUUGAAUUUGCCAUCCCAGGUAGUCCUUUGAUGAUAAACGAGGAGAUGAUUGCCAAGAAAAUGACAGUAACAUUAAUAAAAAGUGACGAGGGAUAGAAAUCCAGAUACAGCGAUGCACAGAUCAUCGCUUCGGCAUGCGUGAGUGAG